UACAGAGGGUGCGAGCGUAAUCGGAAUUACUGGGCGUAAAGCGCACGUAGGCGGCUUGGUAUGUCGGGUGUGAAAUCCCCGGGCUCAACCUGGGAACUGCAUCCGAAACUGCCUUGCUAGAGUAUGGGAGAGGGAAGUGGAAUUUCCGGUGUAGCGGUGAAAUGCGUAGAUAUCGGAAGGAACAUCAGUGGCGAAGGCGACUUCCUGGACCAAUACUGACGCUCAGGUGCGAAAGCGUGGGGAGCAAACAGGG
rnacentral:rRNA from 1 species